AAUCUUGCUUCCUGGCAGCCCUGGUGCCUGCACGUGUGCUGCCCCUGCCCCCUUCCCUGCUGCCCCUGCCCCCUUCCCUGCUGCCCCUGCCACCAACACUUAAUCAGCUUUCCUUGCUUAGAAGAGUGGUCCUGAGCAUGGCACGGGUGGUGGGCUCCAUCUCCAGGUACAAGCAGGACCUAACUGGGGGGGUCUCCAAGAAGAUAUUGUUCUGGGAAACCCUGGGACCUGUGGAGUGGGUCUGUACCCUGUCCCUGGUAACAAAAGGGGUGAUGGGUUCAAACUGAGAGGGAGGAGAGAACUAAGGAAGAAAUUGUUUGCAAUGAGGGGGGGAGACACUGGCCCAGGUUGCCCAGAGAGGAGGUAGAUGUUCCCAUGCCUGGAAACAUUCCAGGUCAGGUUGGACUGGGCUCUGAGCAGCCCUAUCUAGUUGCAGAUGUCCCAGCUCGCUGCAGGGGAGUGGGACUAGCUGGCCUUUAAAAGUCCCUUCCCACCCAAACCAGGCUGUGAUUCUGGGUACAGAACCAGAGAAACCAGCGCUCUGCAAGGUGAGGACUUUCCCAUGGGCAUCUUGGUCCCUUCUGGAUUUAUUUCCCAGCCAUUUGCAUGUGGCUGGCUGGGAAAUAACAUCCAGAGGAUUUCCAGCACCUGCACUCCCUGCUGGCUGAGCUCCCAACACCUUCUGUACCUCCUGCUUCUCUGAGCAGCUUUUCCCACGAGCAGCUCCGAGGCACAAAGUUCUUGGAUCAGAACUGGUCCCAACAAAGUGUCUGCUGAGAACUCCAAGAAAAGCUGGAGCAGGACAGAAGUGCAGCUGGGGAAUGUGCAGUGUAGGAUUCAGGACUCUCCAGCCAACACAGAGGAGAGUGACAAAUCUGUGGGCAAAAAAAAAAGGACAAUGUCCUUUUGCUUUUAGGAAGAAACACGUUUCAAAGUGGAAGGGAUGCCAAGUUACAAGGAACAAGGAACCUCUGGAUGGAAUGGAGCCAGGACCUUCUGUUUGACCCCCAGGAAAUGGCUGCUGGCACCUUCUUCCUGGGACUGAGCAACUUCAGAAAUAAGUUCCUGGAAGCUGUCAAGGAGAAUCAGAAGCAGCACGAAGCAGGUGAUACAUGGUGCACAGCUGGCAAAGGAGGAGACAGGAGCAGAGAGAGCAGCUGAGACAUGAGUGCAGCAGGAGCACGUCGGGGGGAGCUCUGCCCUCAGGAGCAUCACCUGGAACAUGUAGCACCUCCCUCCCUUCUUCCUCCUCUUCUCCUGAUGCCUUUUCCUAUCGCAGGCAGUGGUGGCAGCACCGAGAGGGAAAGCCUGAACUUCCCAGAUCAGCUUGGAAGGCUCCACACAAAGAGGGAUCAGCAGGCAAGGAUGGGUGCAAGUCUCCCGGGUUCCCAGCCAGGGGGAGAAGAUGUCCUGCACACCCCUGCUCCCAGCCAGGGGGAGAAGAUGUCCUGCACACCCCUGCUCCCAGCCAGGGGGAGAAGAUGUCCUGCACACCCCUGCUCCCAGCACGUCUCGUCCUAAGCUGCGGCAGCACCUCCCUUGGGGCUGAGGCUGGACAGGAGAGGCCAGGGGAGCUGCACUGCCCCUGGGGGGUGGCAGCAGGUGACAGACAGGACCAGAGUGAUGGAUGUUUUACAGGAAGCCUCCUGGGAGCAGGGGAGGGUGACAGGGUGGGUGCUGCUCACCAGGCUUUGCCACCUCUGCAUUUCCUCCUGCAGGGCUGGAAAAAAUAAA